rnacentral:rRNA from 1 species
UACGGAGGGUGCAAGCGUUGUUCGGAAUUAUUGGGCGUAAAGCGCACGUAGGCGGCCGUUUAAGUCUCACUGUGAAAGCCUGCGGCUCAACCGCAGGAGGCCAGGGGAUACUGGACGGCUGGAGACAGGUAGAGGCGAGCGGAAUUCCGGGUGUAGCGGUGGAAUGCGUAGAGAUCCGGAAGAACACCAGAGGCGAAGGCGGCUCGCUGGACCUGUUCUGACGCUGAGGUGCGAAAGCGUGGGGAGCGAACAGG